rnacentral:rRNA from 1 species
UACGUAGGUGGCAAGCGUUGUCCGGAUUUACUGGGCGUAAAGGAUGCGUAGGCGGAUUUUUAAGUGGGAUGUGAAAUUCCGAGGCUCAACCUCGGCGCUGCAUUCCAAACUGGAAGUCUAGAGUGCGGGAGAGGAAAGUGGAAUUCCUAGUGUAGCGGUGAAAUGCGUAGAUAUUAGGAAGAACACCAGUGGCGAAGGCGACUUUCUGGACCGUAACUGACGCUGAUGCAUGAAAGAGUGGGGAGCAAACAGG